UUUCCGUAGGUGAACCUGCGGAAGGAUCAUUAAUUAUAUAAGGCCACAGGGCAAGCUGUCCGACAGGAUCGAGCUUGCUGUGUGAACCCUACCUACCCUUGCUUUUCGCGUACCCAUUGUUUCCUCGGCAGGCUUGCCUGCCAGUAGGACCCUCUUAAACCCUUUGUAAUUGCAGUCAGCGUCAGAAACAACGUAAUCGUUACAACUUUCAACAACGGAUCUCUUGGUUCUG
rnacentral:misc_RNA from 1 species